AGAGUUUGAUCAUGGCUCAGAGCGAACGUUGGCGGCGCGCUUAACACAUGCAAGUCGCACGAGAAAAGGGGCAACCCUUAGUAAAGUGGCGCACGGGUGCGUAACACGUAGGCAAUCUGCCCUUAGACGGGGGAUAACCAUCCGAAAGGAUGGCUAAUACCGCGUAAGACCACAGUCGCUCCGGCGACAGCGGUCAUAGCUGGCCUCUACUUGUAAGCUAGCGUCUAAGGAGGAGCCUGCGGCCCAUCAGCUAGUUGGUGAGGUAACGGCUCACCAAGGCAAAGACGGGUAGCUGGUCUGAGAGGAUGAUCAGCCACACUGGCACUGAAACACGGGCCAGACUCCUACGGGAGGCAGCAGUGGGGAAUAUUGGACAAUGGGCGAAAGCCUGAUCCAGCGACGCCGCGUGGGUGAUGAAGGCCUUCGGGUCGUAAAGCCCUGUGGGAAGGAAAGAAAACGUUGCGGUCAAAUAGGCCGCGACCUUGACGGUACCUUCUCAGAAAGCACCGGCUAACUCUGUGCCAGCAGCCGCGGUAAGACAGAGGGUGCAAACGUUGCUCGGAAUUACUGGGCGUAAAGCGCGUGUAGGCGGACCGGAAAGUCGGGCGUGAAAGCCCCAGGCUCAACCUGGGAACUGCACUCGAAACUUCCGGCCUUGAGUGGUGGAGAGGGAAGUGGAAUUCCUGGUGUAGAGGUGAAAUUCGUAGAUAUCAGGAGGAACACCAGUGGCGAAGGCGGCUUCCUGGACACCAACUGACGCUGAGACGCGAAAGCGUGGGGAGCAAACAGGAUUAGAUACCCUGGUAGUCCACGCUGUAAACGAUGGGCACUAGGUGUCGCGGGUAUUGACCCCCGCGGUGCCGUAGCAAACGCGUUAAGUGCCCCGCCUGGGGGAGUACGGCCGCAAGGCUAAACUCAAAUGAAUUGACGG
rnacentral:rRNA from 1 species